AGAACGAACGCUGGCGGCAUGCCUAAUACAUGCAAGUCGAACGAGACCUUCGGGUCUAGUGGCGCACGGGUGCGUAACGCGUGGGAAUCUACCCUUGGGUUCGGAAUAACAGUUGGAAACGACUGCUAAUACCGGAUGAUGACGAAAGUCCAAAGAUUUAUCGCCCAGGGAUGAGCCCGCGUAGGAUUAGCUAGUUGGUGAGGUAAAGGCACACCAAGGCUACGAUCCUUAGCUGGUCUGAGAGGAUGAUCAGCCACACUGGGACUGAGACACGGCCAGACUCCUACGGGAGCAGCAGUAGGAUAUUGGACAGUGGGGCAACCGUGACUCGAG
rnacentral:rRNA from 1 species